UAAGGAAUAUUGGUCAAUGGACGCAAGUCUGAACCAGCCAUGCCGCGUGCAGGAUGAAGGCCCUCUGGGUUGUAAACUGCUUUUAUCUGGGACGAAAAACGGACUUUCUAGUUCACUUGACGGUACCAGAGGAAUAAGCACCGGCUAACUCCGUGCCAGCAGCCGCGGUAAUACGGAGGGUGCAAGCGUUAUCCGGAUUUACUGGGUUUAAAGGGUGCGUAGGUGGGUAGGUAAGUCAGUGGUGAAAUCUUCAAGCUUAACUUGGAAACUGCCAUUGAUACUAUUUAUCUUGAAUUAUCUGGAGGUAAGCGGAAUAUGUCAUGUAGCGGUGAAAUGCUUAGAUAUGACAUAGAACACCCAUUGCGAAGGCAGCUUACUACGGAUAUAUUGACACUGAGGCACGAAAGCGUGGGGAUCAAACA
rnacentral:rRNA from 1 species